AAGGAGUUCUUAACAGAGUUUUUUUUACUACUUUAUUGAUCAUCAGUGUCAAAUAGUUAAGCAGGGAACCUGUGGCUCAUUUUCUUUUUCAUUCUUUGUGAUGCUUUAAUACAGGAACAUCCCUGUGGAGCUUCCUCAGCUGGACCUCAGCUUCUCCAAGCUCAAAGGGAGUGGGGUUGUGGCUUGGAUGUGCACAACUCAUACACAGGAGCUGUGAACCUGUCCCAGAUCUCACAAUAUUCAUACAAUGAAGUGUGAACAAUUUUGGAUCUACCAAAUCUUUUGCAGCCAGCCCUGAGCUUGUUCUGCUUGUACUUGGAGCUGGCAGAAUGCAAGCAAGGUCUCAUUCAGAAUUCCCAUAGCUUCCUAAGGCAGCACUUUGCUCUGGGCAAGGCUUACUGUAUGACUCCAGGCAUGGUGCUUUCAGUUUAAAGUUGGAGGGUAUGUUGUUGACAGAGUACAGGUGAAACAAGCUUCUGUGAAAGUACAAAAACAUCUCUGCAAAAGUGUAUGUUCAUAAAUAUUUAUGGUCUGACACUAUUAGCCAGGAUUUCAGGCUGCAGGCUCUUACCAAUAUUUUAAAAUCCUACUUGGAGCUCAAGCUUAGGGCUAUU
rnacentral:lncRNA from 1 species